GGGACUUUAAAAUAACUUCUUCUUUUCUCACGUCAAGAGACUCAAGACUGAAGACCUACCCACCGCCGACGGGCCUGCACUAGAUUCGACAACAUCUUCAUCCCUCCACCGGCAUCAAGAACACGUUAUAAGCAACAAUUAACAGUGUCUUAAACAAGUAGCAAAGGUUAUCCAGGACGCUAGGAAAAUGUAUGCAUAUGGCGAGAUGACUGAAGAUGAAGAAGAGAUAUAUGAGUAUUAGAUCUAGUUUUAGAUUAUCGUAUGAAUAUGUUUUAUCUGAUGAUUUUAAUUUUAUAUUGAAUAUAAUAAUGUUUUUCAUUAUUUUAUCUAUCGAUAUAGGCAUAUCGCAUUAAUAAGUGUACAAAAAUUAUAUCAUUAAUUGUAAUAUAAUUUACAAUUCGUA